rnacentral:rRNA from 1 species
GAUGAACGCUAGCGGCAGGCUUAAUACAUGCAAGUCGAGGGGCAGCAUGAUUGUAGCAAUACAAUUGAUGGCGACCGGCAAACGGGUGCGGAACACGUACACAACCUUCCAAUAAGUGGGGAAUAGCCCAGAGAAAUUUGGAUUAAUACCCCGUAACAUAACGAUGUGGCAUCACAUUGUUAUUAUAGAUUUUUCGCUUAUUGAUGGGUGUGCGGCUGAUUAGAUAGUUGGCGGGGUAACGGCCCACCAAGUCUACGAUCAGUAGCUGAUGUGAGAGCAUGAUCAGCCACACGGGCACUGAGACACGGGCCCGACUCCUACGGGAGGCAGCAGUAAGGAAUAUUGGACAAUGGACGCAAGUCUGAUCCAGCCAUGCCGCGUGAAGGAUUAAGGUCCUCUGGAUUGUAAACUUCUUUUAUAAGGGACGAAAAAAGGCUUUUCUAAGUCGUCUGACGGUACCUUAUGAAUAAGCACCGGCUAACUCCGUGCCAGCAGCCGCGGUAACAC